UACGUAGGUCGCAAGCGUUGUCCGGAUUUACUGGGCGUAAAGGGCGCGUAGGCGGCAAUUCAAGUCAUCUGUGAAAUCUCCGGGCUUAACUCGGAACGGUCAGAUGAUACUGCUUUGCUAGAGUGCAGAAGGGGCAAUCGGAAUUCUCGGUGUAGCGGUGAAAUGCGUAGAUAUCGAGAGGAACACCAGAGGUGAAGACGGGUUGCUGGGCUGACACUGACGCUGAGGCGCGAAAGCCAGGGGAGCAAACGGG
rnacentral:rRNA from 1 species